rnacentral:rRNA from 1 species
GAUGAACGCUGGCGGCGUGCCUAAUACAUGCAAGUCGAGCGAACAGACGAGGAGCUUGCUCCUCUGACGUUAGCGGCGGACGGGUGAGUAACACGUGGAUAACCUACCUAUAAGACUGGGAUAACUUCGGGAAACCGGAGCUAAUACCGGAUAAUAUAUUGAACCGCAUGGUUCAAUAGUGAAACACGGUUUUGCUGUCACUUAUAGAUGGAUCCGCGCCGCAUUGGCUAGUUGGUAAGGUAACGGCUUACCAAGGCAACGAUGCGUAGCCGACCUGAGAGGGUGAUCGGCCACACUGGAACUGAGACACGGUCCAGACUCCUACGGGAGGCAGCAGUAGGGAAUCUUCGGCAAUGGGCGAAAGCUUGACGGAGCAACGCCGCGUGAGUGAUGAAGGUCUUCGGAUCGUAAAACUCUGUUAUUAGGGAAGAACAAAUGUGUAAGUAACUAUGCACGUCUUGACGGUACCUAAUCAGAAAGCCACGGCUAACUACGUG